AAUUUUGCUUCGCAAGUCAAACCGAAAUUAAUCGCGUUCCUUUCUGCCAGCAACCGCAAACGUACGUUCCGGUAACGUGUACCUAACAAGCCUCCGGAGACCACUCAACAGAUUUCCCGAGAAGUUUUAAGCGUCCUUACAAGCAAACAUAAAAAGUUCAAGGGUUUGAAUCAUCAUUAAGUAACUCUCGACUUUCUAUUUGCGUAUGAAGAACAGAACGUGCAUCACUGAGCGAAGAGGAAGUAACCUGCCGGAAAUAGCGUUGACAGAAGCUGCAGAUCGAGAUAAAUCGAGCUAAUGAAUUCCACAUUGAAAUAGCUUCGUCCGAUCAAGCGGAAUUAUCGAGCGACCUACAUUUUACUCUUGUUAUGGAAGAUUCACAGAUGCUAAACGUCUAUGGCUUGGUUUUUACACAGCGUGAAACGGGCACAAUGUGUGUCAACUGGGAAAGCUGUUGAUUAACGACGUUAACAUUCAUCCGGUUGCCUCCAAAUAUUUGUUUUUUCUAGUUUUGGAUAUUAACGUCAAAAUGGUUAGACAUAUAAACAGCGUUAUCUAUGUACCUGCAAAAAUUGAACUGUAUAUUUACUGAAAAAAAAAAACAAGAAA